ensembl:lncRNA
GCGAGAGACAGUUUCUGAAGCUAAAGUUGGAUGACACAAGGGUACACUGAGGGACACAGUCACUUUAGGAAGAUUUUCAAAGUGCCAAGCACAAAUAGAGGUUUGCUAAGUCAUAACGGCUAAUUGAUACAAACUUAAUGAAUGCGGGUGGUACCGAGACAGAUGCUUUGUGGAAUGCGACAGAUUUCUGUUACUGAAUGCCUCGUGUUGCGUCGCACAUCAAGACACCGAGAACAUUUGGCAGGUCACGGAGUUACACAAGGAGAGGGGAGGCUUGCGAAAGUGGGAAAAAAGCCCAUGUGAGUUGUGUGUGUCGGUGUGUGUAUCUGUGGUAUGUCUGCUCUUGAGCUUGCCUGUUUGUUUGAACGCUCCCUCUUUUGUUUGGGCUUUCGAGGCUCGCCAGCUCUGUGGCUUGCAAUUAGCGCUCAGGCCUCAGGGACCUAAUUAACCAGUGCAAUUAAUUCAUUUCUUAUUUAUUUAUUUUUUUAAAUCCUGUACAAGUCACCCUGACAUUUGUCAGCCAGUCAGGAGGUGUUCAUCGUAAGCGAUGAUUAGCUCGUUUGCGAGCUCUCCUUUUCCCCCAGGUGGUGGUUAGUCGGCGGAGGAGGGGUGGGCCACGGAGGAAGAGGGACAGCGAUGGUGGGCUCACGUCUGCGGGGAGGCAGGCGCCGAAACGUCGCAGCUAUGGUGAUGAGUGGAAGCGGGGGUGCGCUGACCUUUCAUCGAGUCCGCAAUCAAUAUGGUGCGAAGGCUGGUGCCUUUGAUGAGCAGGCCUUGCCCGCCUGGAGACGACCUGCGGCCGUGGUCGCAAAGAGGCGGGGGAAAGGAAGAGGCCCUUUCAUAUGAAGAAAGAAGGUGCAAUUGAUGUGAAUUCCAGUGAAAUCUCUUCAAUAUUGACUGACUGCAUGAGAUUUUAGUUGUGCUCUGUGUUGCUGUGCACUGACUCAGCUGCGCGGCAUAAGCUUGUGCUACUGCUGAAUUGCUGAUUAGUGAAUAAUACUACUACCUUACCACAUUUAAUAUUCUUAGUUCAAUGAUACAAAAAGUGAAUCAAAGGCAAGUCUGAAAACAACAUUAUGAAACUGACAUCUGAAAAAAACAACAGGGAGGACUCUUUUCUAACUUUAAUAAGAUAAUUAGAAAUUAAAAGUCAAAAUAUAAAAAAUCUACAGCAAGCAUUAUAUAUAUAUAUAUAUAUAUAUACACACACACACACACACAUACAUACUGUAUAUUAAAUGCUGUUCUUUUUUUAACUAUUCCUAACAAAAUCUUAUUUAACAAAAAAAAAAAAAACAUGCAACGCACGUAAAACAUGCAAAAACAUUUUGUUUUGAAACAUUGUUAAUAAAAAUAAAUGUUUACUGAGCA